rnacentral:rRNA from 1 species
GAUGAACGCUGGCGGCGUGCCUAAUACAUGCAAGUCGAGCGAACAGACGAGGAGCUUGCUCCUCUGACGUUAGCGGCGGACGGGUGAGUAACACGUGGAUAACCUACCUAUAAGACUGGGAUAACUUCGGGAAACCGGAGCUAAUACCGGAUAAUAUAUUGAACCGCAUGGUUCAAUAGUGAAAGACGGUUUUGCUGUCACUUAUAGAUGGAUCCGCGCCGCAUUAGCUAGUUGGUAAGGUAACGGCUUACCAAGGCAACGAUGCGUAGCCGACCUGAGAGGGUGAUCGGCCACACUGGAAUUGAGACACGGUCCAGACUCCUACGGGAGGCAGCAGUAGGGAAUCUUCCGCAAAGGGCGAAAGCCUGACGGAGCAACGCCGCGUGAGUGAUGAAGGUCUUCGGAUCGUAAAACUCUGUUAUUAGGGAAGAACAAAUGUGUAAGUAACUAUGCACGUCUUGACGGUACCUAAUCAGAAAGCCACGGCUAACUACGUG